UACGAAGGGGGCUAGCGUUGCUCGGAAUCACUGGGCGUAAAGGGUGCGUAGGCGGGUCUUUAAGUCAGAGGUGAAAUCCUGGAGCUCAACUCCAGAACUGCCUUUGAUACUGAGGAUCUUGAGUACGGGAGAGGUGAGUGGAACUGCGAGUGUAGAGGUGAAAUUCGUAGAUAUUCGCAAGAACACCAGUGGCGAAGGCGGCUCACUGGCCCGUUACUGACGCUGAGGCACGGAAAGCGUGGGAGCAAACAGGG
rnacentral:rRNA from 1 species